UACGGGGGGGGCAAGCGUUGUUCGGAAUUACUGGGCGUAAAGGGCUCGUAGGCGGCCAACUAAGUCAGACGUGAAAACCCUCGGCUUAACCGGGGAACUGCAUCUGAUACUGGAUGGCUUGAGUUCGGGAGAGGGAUGUGGAAUUCCAGGUGUAGCGGUGAAAUGCGUAGAUAUCUGGAGGAACACCGGUGGCGAAGGCGGCAUCCUGGACCGACACUGACGCUGAGGAGCGAAAGCCAGGGGAGCAAACGGG
rnacentral:rRNA from 1 species